rnacentral:rRNA from 1 species
AAUGGAGGCAACUCUGACCCAGCCACGCCGCGUGGAGGAUGAAGGUGCUAUGCAUCGUAAACUUCUUUUGUCAAGGGAGAAAGUGCUUGAUUAAUCAGGUUUUGACGGUACUUGGCGAAUAAGCAUCGGCUAACUACGUGCCAGCAGCCGCGGUAAUACGUAGGAUGCAAGCGUUAUCCGGAAUCACUGGGUUUAAAGGGUCUGUAGGCGGUAUCAUAAGUCAGUGGUGAAAUAUCUGGGCUUAACUUGGAGGGUGCCAUUGAUACUGUAGUACUUGAGAUAGAAUGACGUGGGCGGAAUGUGUCAUGUAGCGGUGAAAUGCUUAGAGAUGACACAGAACACCGAUUGCGAAGGCAGCUCACGAAGCCUUAUCUGACGCUGAGGGACGAAAGCGUGGGGAGCAAA